rnacentral:lncRNA from 12 species
AUGCGUUCAUGUGUGGGAAUUGUGUGUGAACAGAGCCGGUGGGCUGUCGCAGGUGCAGCUGCUGUCUGGGGCAGAGAGAGGAGACAAACACCACAGACAGUGAAUGCUGGAGUGUUGACAGUUGAUGGAAACGUCGUUAUAUGUCGAUGCUUCAUGCACAUCACCUCUUGCAGAGAGUGUGUAUUUAGAUGCAGUGUCCUGCCAGGUUUUCAGCGCUGAGCUGCAGUUUAAACCUGCCGUCUGUGUUGCCUGUCUGUCUGGAGUGAUAACUGUAUUAUUCAUGCUUGCGUGUAGACAGCUCUGUUAAUCUCCUGCCAUGCAAUAGUGCUUCCAUCAGCCGUGCUCCUCACGAGUGUCCCACAUGUGUAAGUGCGUUCACACGCACGUGUGUAUGUGAGGGUGUAUAUAAGAUGCAUAGGUCAGAGCAGGCUGGUUUGGUGUCGUAGUGGUGCGUGCAGAAGAUCUAGGCCUUUGAGGUCUCAGUAAUUAGCUGGGUGGGGGCAUUCAGCAUGGCCAUAUAUUCACCAUACUGAAAGGGUGCGGGCAGGGGGUCUAUUGACGGCUGACAGGUGCAGCAGCGGAAGGCGUCAGGAGUUUGGGCAAUCGAAACCAGAGCUGCAGUCUAGUAGAACAGUCUCCGGCCCCUAGGUUACCCCUCGCCCCCCUCCUGGGGGUCAAAAUUGAAAGCAAGUUCAAGACCCUUUUCCUGCCCUAUUUUGCUGUGCACAAGGUCUGCUGUGUGAUUUGUGAUUG